rnacentral:rRNA from 1 species
UACGUAGGGGGCAAGCGUUGUCCGGAAUCAUUGGGCGUAAAGAGCGUGUAGGCGGCCCGGUAAGUCCGCUGUGAAAGUCCAGGGCUCAACCCUGGAAUGCCGGUGGAAACUGUCGGGCUAGAGUCCGGAAGAGGCGAGUGGAAUUCCUGGUGUAGCGGUGAAAUGCGUAGAGAUCCGGAGGAACACCGACGGCGCAGGCAGCGUCCUGGCCGCUUGCUGACACUGAGGCACGAAAGCUGGGGGAGCAAACAGG